rnacentral:rRNA from 1 species
CCAGCCGCCGCGGUAACACCGGCGGCCCGAGUGGUGAUCGUGAUUAUUGGGUCUAAAGGGUCCGUAGCCGGUUUGGUCAGUCCUCCGGGAAAUCUGAUAGCUCAACUAUUAGGCUUUCGGGGGAUACUGCCAGACUUGGAACCGGGAGAGGUAAGAGGUACUACAGGGGUAGGAGUGAAAUCUUGUAAUCCCUGUGGGACCACCUGUGGCGAAGGCGUCUUACCAGAACGGGUUCGACGGUGAGGGACGAAAGCUGGGGGCACGAACCGGAUUAGAUACCCGGGUAGUCCCAGCCGUAAACGAUGCUCGCUAGGUGUCAGGCAUGGCGCGACCGUGUCUGGUGCCGCAGGGAAGCCGUGAAGCGAGCCACCUGGGAAGUACGGCCGCAAGGCUGAAACUUAAAGGAGUUGGCGGGGGAGCACAACAACGGGUGGAGCCCUGCGGUUUAAUUGGACUCAACGCCGGACAACUCACCGGGGGCGACAGCAAUAUGUAGGCCAAGCUGAAGACUUUGCCUGAAUCGCUGAGGAGUGGUGCAUGG